UACGGAGGAUGCAAGCGUUAUCCGGAUUUAUUGGGUUUAAAGGGUGCGCAGGUUGUUUGACAAGUCAGUGGUGAGAGUCUGCCGCUUAACGGAAGGAUUGCCAUUGAUACUGUUGGACUUGAGUAUGGAUAAGGUAUGCGGAAUGUGUAGUGUAGCGGUGAAAUGCAUAGAUAUUACACAGAACACCGAUUGCGAAGGCAGCAUACUGGGCCAUUACUGACGCUGAGGCACGAAAGCGUGGGGAUCAAACAGG
rnacentral:rRNA from 1 species